rnacentral:rRNA from 1 species
GGGGGAAUAUUGCGCAAUGGGGGAAACCCUGACGCAGCAACGCCGCGUGUGUGAAGAAGGCCUUCGGGUCGUAAAGCACUGUUGGGAGGAACGAGCCGCUCAAGUAACCCUUGAGCCCGACGGUACCUCCUGAGGAAGCACCGGCUAACUCCGUGCCAGCAGCCGCGGUAAUACGGAGGGUGCAAGCGUUGUUCGGAAUUAUUGGGCGUAAAGCGCGCGCAGGCGGCCCGUUAAGUCUGAUGUGAAAACC